GACGAACGCUGGCGGCGUGCUUAACACAUGCAAGUCGAGCGGUAAGGCCCUUUCGGGGGUACACGAGCGGCGAACGGGUGAGUAACACGUGGGUGACCUGCCCUCAGCUCUGGGAUAAGCCCGGGAAACUGGGUCUAAUACCGGAUAUGACUCCAUGACGCAUGUUGUGGGGUGGAAAGCCUUGUGCGGCUGAGGAUGGGCCCGCGGCCUAUCAGCUUGUUGGUGGGGUGAUGGCCACCAAGGCGACGACGGGUAGCCGGCCUGAGAGGGCGACCGGCCACACUGGGACUGAGAUACGGUCCAGACUCCUACGGGAGGCAGCAGUGGGGAAUCUUGCGCAAUGGGCGAAAGCCUGACGCAGCGACGCCGCGUGAGGGAUGACGGCCUCGG
rnacentral:rRNA from 1 species